rnacentral:misc_RNA from 1 species
GAAAUGCGAUAAGUAGUGUGAAUUGCAGAAUUCAGUGAAUCAUCGAAUCUUUGAACGCACAUUGCGCCCCUCGGUAUUCCGUGGGGCAUGCCUGUUCGAGCGUCAUCUACACCCUCAAGCUCUGCUUGGUGUUGGGCGUCUGUCCCGCCUUCGCGCGUGGACUCGCCCCAAAUGCAUUGGCAGCGGUCCUUGCCCCCGGCUCCUCUGCGUAGUAGUAACACCUCGCACUGGGACGGAGCGAAGGCCACGCCGUAAAACAACCCAACUUUCUGAAUGUUGACCUCGGAUCAGGUAGGAAUACCCGCUGAACUUAAGC